AGAGUUUGAUCAUGGCUCAGAAUCAACGCUGGCGGCGUGCCUAACACAUGCAAGUCGAACGAGAAAGUGGAGCAAUCCAUGAGUAAAGUGGCGCACGGGUGAGUAACACGUGACUAACCUACCCUUGAGUGGGGGAUAACCUAGGGAAACCUGGGCUAAUACCGCAUAAUACCUACGGGUCAAAGGAGCAAUUCGCUCGAGGAGGGGGUCGCGGCCGAUUAGUUAGUUGGCGGGGUAAUGGCCCACCAAGACUGUGAUCGGUAUCCGGCCUGAGAGGGCGCACGGACACACCGGAACUGAAACACGGUCCAGACUCCUACGGGAGGCAGCAGUGGGGAAUUUUGCGCAAUGGGGGAAACCCUGACGCAGCAACGCCGCGUGGAGGAUGAAGUCCUUCGGGACGUAAACUCCUUUCGAUCGGGACGAUUAUGACGGUACCGGAAGAAGAAGCCCCGGCUAACUUCGUGCCAGCAGCCGCGGUAAUACGAGGGGGGCGAGCGUUGUUCGGAAUUAUUGGGCGUAAAGGGUGCGUAGGCGGUUUGGUAAGUCUGAUGUGAAAUCUAUGGGCUCAACUCAUAGUCUGCAUCGGAAACUGCCGGGCUUGAGUGUGGGAGAGGUGAGUGGAAUUUCCGGUGUAGCGGUGAAAUGCGUAGAUAUCGGAAGGAACACCUGUGGCGAAAGCGGCUCACUGGACCACAACUGACGCUGAUGCACGAAAGCUAGGGGAGCAAACAGGAUUAGAUACCCUAGUAGUCC
rnacentral:rRNA from 1 species